rnacentral:lncRNA from 1 species
ACGUGGCCGAUGAAGAACAACCACCACGAUAUUCCACUAUUGUUAGCGGGAGCUACCAAGCUGUACAGGAAACAAACCAGGCAGCCACGUCUCACGACAAUGCAAGUGAGACUCCUGAUGGCACCUUUGUUGAAGCAUGGAUCGAGCUGCCCUACCUCUACAUACUUCCUUCGUACGAGAACACCGGAAAUGGGAGCAUCGGCGUAUAUCAUCCGAAGUCCAGCAACGUGGAAGAGGCAUUCUCGAGUACAAGCGGCGGGGCCAUGGCAGGCUUCUUCGUAACCGACAUGAA